GUGAGGUGAUGAUGAAGUUUAUCCAUUCUCUGAGGGCAUUGGUGUUGUCCUCCUGUAGUGCCCAGAUUCCUGUUCUAGAGUCUGGGUACCGUGCAGCCUCCAGAGACCCUCCAGUCUUCUGGUGUCCUACUGGGGGCCGCUGUGGUCUGUGGCUGGCUGCCUACAGGAGUGAAGUGAUGCCAGCAGGGUUGGAACUCCUCUUUUGAGGGGCUUCACCCCGACUGAGAUGAGGGAUAAUGUCUGAUCAC